rnacentral:rRNA from 1 species
UACGGAGGGAGCAAGCGUUACUCGGAAUUAUUGGGCGUAAAGGGCGCGUAGGCGAUUUGAAAAGUCUUGUGUGAAAGCCCCGAGCUUAACUCGGGAAGUGCACAAGAAACUGUUGAAUUUGAGUUCCGGAGAGGAAGGCAGAAUUCCCGGUGUAGCGGUGAAAUGCGUAGAUAUCAGGAGGAACACCGGUGGCGAAGGCGCACAUCUGGCCCGAUACUGACGC